UAUUUUGUGUAAUUUAAAAAAUUUCGAGAAUUAAUUACAAGUUAUUAGUAUAUUAUUGUUGUCCUAUAUAACCGAUUGUUUGAUUUUACAGCUUUAAAUGCAUGAUAAUAUACUAGAAUUUGUAAAAUGAGUCAAUUGUGUUUCCUUGAUGCACGUAUUGUUUGUCUUGCAUUGAUUUAUGAUUAAAUUGUGAAACUGAAAAUCAAAUGUAAACAGAAAAUUGAUUGGUUAAAUGAAUGAAUGAAU
rnacentral:lncRNA from 1 species